CAAUAGCGUAUAUUAAAGUUGUUGCAGUUAAAAAGCUCGUAGUUGGAUUUCUGGUUGAAGCGACCGGUCGGGCGUUGAUUCGUCUGCACUGGAGUCGGUUUUGGCCAUCCUCUAGGAAAGUGCGUCUGGUAUUAAGUUAUCGGGCGUAUGAUCCUGGUCUUUUACUGUGACAAAAUUAGAGUGUUUAAAGCAGGCCUUCGCCUUGAAUACAUUAGCAUGGAAUAAUAAGAUAGGACUUUGGUCUAUUUUGUUGGUUUGCAGACCGAAGUAAUGAUUAAUAGGGAUAGUUGGGGGUAUUUAUAUUCCGAUGUCAGAGGUGAAAUUCUUAGAUUUUCGGAAGAUAAACUUAUGCGAAAGCAUUUACCAAGGAUGUUUUCAUUAA
rnacentral:rRNA from 1 species